rfam:Nicotiana attenuata strain TT scaffold04913, whole genome shotgun sequence.
UUACUUGCAGCUGCAGCAUCAUCAAGAUUCACAUAGAAAUCAUGUGGAGCAGAAAAUAUAUUUCUAAAAAUCUGCCCCCUAAGUUUUUUGAACGUGAGAAUCUUGAUGAUGCUGCAUCAGCAAAUGA